AAUCCCGCAUCAUGUUAAUUUUCUGAAUCUGUAAAGAAAAACAUAAAACUCAUCAUGAGCUAAAUAGCCCAGUAAGCAGUGUAUACCUUUAACUGAAUAAAUCAGGCAAUAAUACUGUACAUGUCGGUUUACUGAUAAUAACAAAAAUCAAUAUGUAAUUUUAUGAAAUCAUAAUCAUACAAUCAAUCAUAUAUAAAAUUCAAUUCAUCAUAAUUUCAAAUUAUGCUUAUCAUCUUAAAUU
rnacentral:lncRNA from 1 species